rnacentral:lncRNA from 1 species
UGGGCUUUAGGGCUCCGGCUAGCAUAACUCCAAUGCUGGGCUUAGAGUGAGGGUCAGGGAAGAAGGCCAGACUUGCAGUGGAUGCGAUUGGUGGGUGGGCACCACCACUCGGGGUGGUGGAGGAUAACUGGUGGGAAGGGUUAGGGUGGGGCGUCAAAUUGACAUCUCGAUGAAACUAGGUUAGUGCGGUGGUGGGAGGAAGAGGCGUACUCAAUGGGAUGCAGAGCAAGCAAUGCAAUGAUGUGCAAUUUCAUGUGAAACUUUUUUGUGUGUUAUUUUUUCUUGGGAUCUGGAGGUUUCUUGGCAAGAUGCCUAUUUAGACGUUAAUUAAUUAGUUGUUGACCGCUGGCAAAAUUUACUUCUUAUAUAGACUCAACACUAACACCAUCCUUCACACUCCCUCCUAAUGACCCGAUCCCUUUGCCCUUCGUGUCCGUAACACUACAAUUAUCCUUCCUCUCCUGAUGACCCUAUCCCUUUGCCCUACGUGUCGCAACACUAGUAGAAAGUAUUAUUGAAUUCGAGUGGUUGAUCUCUUCUCUACAACUAGUUUCCCCCUUUUCCCCCUCUUCUCUAAAUAUGAGUUUUUUGGGCUCCG